GAUGAACGCUGGCGGCGUGCCUAAUACAUGCAAGUCGAGCGAACAGACGAGGAGCUUGCUCCUCUGACGUUAGCGGCGGACGGGUGAGUAACACGUGGAUAACCUACCUAUAAGACUGGGAUAACUUCGGGAAACCGGAGCUAAUACCGGAUAAUAUAUUGAACCGCAUGGUUCAAUAGUGAAAGACGGUUUUGCUGUCACUUAUAGAUGGAUCCGCGCCGCAUUAGCUAGUUGGUAAGGUAACGGCUUACCAAGGCAACGAUGCGUAGCCGACCUGAGAGGGGGAUCGGCCACACUGGAACUGAGACACGGUCCUGACGCCUACGGGAGGCAGCAGUAGGGAAUAUUCCGCAAUGGGCGAAAGCUUGACGGAGCAACGCCGCGUGAGUGAUGAAGGUCUUCGGAUCGUAAAACUCUGUUAUUAGGGAAGAACAAAUGUGUAAGUAACUAUGCACGUCUUGACGGUACCUAAUCAGAAAGCCACGGCUAACUACGUG
rnacentral:rRNA from 1 species